GCCAAAUUUUGGCGAUCAUGAAGAGUACUGCACUAGACGUGGAGUGCAGAAUCUCUUCCAUAUAUUGAUUUCCUUUCUUUUAGGUAGAUACUACAUACGUUUUAAUCCCUGUCUUAACUUACGUAAGGCUAUAUUAACUAUUUUAACUGUGGAUCUGUGGGAUCCCAUUUUGUUAUUUUUAUUUUUUAUUUAUUUAUUUAUUUUUUUGAGAGGGAGUCUCCGUCUAUUGCCCUGGCUGGAGUGCAGUGGUGCGAUCUCGGCUUGCUGCAACCUCUGUCUCUUGGGUUCAAGCCAUUCUCCUGCCUCAACCUCCCAAGUAGCUGGGAUUAUAGUUCAGGCAGCCACCAUGACGCCUGGCUAUUUUUUGUAUUUUUAGUAGAGAAGGGGUUUCGUCAUGUUGGCCAGACUGGUCCUGAACUCCUGACCUCAGGUGAUCUGCCUGCCUCGGCCUCCCAAAGUGUUAGGAUUACAAGUGCGAGCUACCGUGCGCAGCCGCUGGGAUCCCAUUUUAAUCAAGCCAAUUUGACUUCGUUAUAAAGUAAGGCCUGUGCCCUAGAUGUCCCUGGAGACAGCGCCAUCUGGUGGAACUUCCUGUAACGAUCGAGAUGUUCCGUCUGUGCCGUCCAACAUGGGAGCCAUGCAGGACACAUGGUGACUGAGCACUGGGACUGUGUGCCGCGUGACCAAGAGCAGCUCAGCUCUAAAGUCUCCUCCAGCUUUAUGAUGUCACUUCCUGUAUCUUCUCUACACAUUCUUUCCUUCAGCCUGUUGUUUGUAAGUUUUUAUGUAGGAAAGUAGAAAAUUCAGAAUAUGUUUCAUCAGGUUUUUGUUUGGCAAAGUGUCAACAUGUUUAUAACAGAGUUAAAGAUAAAGGAAACCUUUUGGGUUAUUUUGGAGAAUUGAGGGCAAGACAAAAGGCUCCCUAACUGCAGGGAAAGGGGAGGCAAGUCAUGAGCUCUGAGAAGGCCUGGCAGUGUCUGUGAACACAUGAGAUGUGCCUGUCACCCCAACUCUGCCAAGGCAGCGUGCAAACAGCCCCUGUUGCACCUCCACUUUCUGCCUGGAGGCCCGAGCAACCGAAGGCUGUCACAUCAGCCCAGCUACUGGGAAAUGCCAAUUUGGAAGCCCAGGACUUACCGCCAAACCUACGGGCCAGUCCCCCGUACAUGUAAAAGUACACCCACCCCAGCAUGGACAUGAUAUUUAUAGGAGUGUUUCUCAACUGAGGGCAAUUUUGCCCCCUGGGGACAUUUGGUUGUCACAAAUGAGGGAGGGGGUGCUAGUGGCAUCUAGUGGGUGGAGGCCAGGGGUGCUGCUCAACCUCCCACAGCC
rnacentral:lncRNA from 10 species